GACGAACGCUGGCGGCGUGCCUAAUACAUGCAAGUAGAACGCACAGUUUAUACCGUAGCUUGCUACACCAUAGACUGUGAGUUGCGAACGGGUGAGUAACGCGUAGGUAACCUGCCUGGUAGCGGGGGAUAACUAUUGGAAACGAUAGCUAAUACCGCAUAAUAUUAAUUAUUGCAUGAUAAUUGAUUGAAAGCUGCAACUGCAUCACUACCAGAUGGACCUGCGUUGUAUUAGCUAGUAGGUGAGGUAAAGGCGCACCUAGGCGACGAGACAUAGCCGACCUGAGAGGAUGGACGGCCGCACUGGGACUGAGACACGGCCCAGACGCCUUCGGGAGACAGCAGUAGGGAAUCUUCGGCAAUGGGUGAAAGUCUGACCGAGAAAGGCCGCGUGAGGGAAGAAGGUUUUCGGAUCGUAAAGCUCUGUUGUAAGAGAAGAACGGGUGUGAGAGUGGAAAGUUCACACUGUGACGGUAUCUUACCAGAAAGGGACGGCUAACUACGUG
rnacentral:rRNA from 1 species